AAUCUGUUUGCAUAAAAUCAUGGAAUUAUUACUGGGAUAAGACACUAACAAGCAACAUUAAACUUUAUGUUUAGCGGAGAAUAACGGAUACUUUCUUUCUGAAAAGACCAAGGAAAACGUCAAAAGCAAUACAGAGCAAUCGCUGUUAUCCACUAAUUGCCUCCUUAGCGAAGAGCGUUUAACGCGAUAGAAUAAUGAACACCCCUCUCAAAACGCAGCUUCAAAAACAGACUAAUGAGUUUUUUAUACGUCUGGAGGAAGUAAAACCACUUUGUGAUGCAAAUUGCAAAAUUAAGGACGUGGAUCGUGUUGAACAUAUUCUUAAUGCACUCAUAAACGGAGGAACUAAACGUUUACAAUUGGUGUCCGACUUUGAUUAUACGAUUACAAAGCAGCGCACUGCAGACGGCAGCCCUGUUUUAAGUAGUUUUGGAAUUUUCAAUUCUUGUAAAUCUUUGCCGAAAGGUUACGUAGAAGAAACUGAAAGAUUAUAUCACAAGUAUCGUCCCAUCGAAGUGGAUCCUCACUUACCAAUUCAAGAAAAAACUAAAUAUAUGGUCGAGUGGUGGACAAAAUCUGGAGAAUUGUUAGUAGGAUUCCCAUUUGAUGAAAAUGAAAUUGAUGAGGUUGCCUUUAAGUAUAAAGACUCUCUACGUGACCAGUCCAACGUAUUAUUCCACACUCUUUAUCGCCUCAACAUACCUGUAUUGAUUUUUUCUGCUGGUCUGGGAAAUUCUGUGAUAUCAGUCCUUAAGCAUGCUAAAGUGUUACUGCCGAAUGUUAAGGUGAUAUCCAAUUUCUUGCGAUACAGAAAUUGCUUGCUGGAUGGUUUUCAAGAGCCCAUGAUUCAUACAUUUAAUAAAAACGAAACAGUUUUGGAAGGCAGUGAUUAUUAUGAACUAGUGCAUGAGCGAGAUCAUAUCAUAGUCAUGGGAGAUUCAAUCGGGGAUGCUGACAUGGCUAGGGGCGUUCCAGCUUCUUCGAACAUUAUUAAAAUUGGAUUCCUAUUUGAUCACGUUGAGGAAAACCUGGAAAGAUAUAUGAACGUAUUUGAUAUUGUUCUUAUUGAUGACCAAACCAUGAACGUGCCGUUGGCGCUAUUGUCGGCUAUAGAAGCUCAAGAGAAAAAGAAUCUUGAGAAAUCAUUUCAAUUCAAUUCUUAGGCCAAGCUUUAGUUGAAUACUGAAUUUGAACUUUAAUAAUAACAUAUCCAAAUUGAGUUUGCACGAAAUGAUAUGUUCAACAAGACGCUGAAAUUAAGUAGAACUGCUGAAGAUUUAGAAGCUCAUUGAUGGAAUUACAGACAUUUAUCGCGUCCACGACAGAUACUUGUUAUUUGACUUCAUUUUUAGUUACGUUUUGUACGCAGAUGAUGUUCAAUGUUUAUGAGAUGGGGCAAAUCGCUGCGAUAAGGACGUAUUUAUGUCUUGAGUUUGUGGUGUCAAUCCUGACCAAUUUUAUGCCAAACAACGAUACAGGUAUUGAUACAAGGAUUAAUAGAAGGAAAAGCUUUCCACUCGGGAACCACUUGCAAAGACGUUUCGUGCCAUUUCCUAAGGCUGGGGCAGCUCAGCGGCCUAGGGAAGAUAACACGCAAGAAAUUUAUAUUUACAAAGACUCUUCAUUUAUUCCAUCAUUGUUUUAUUCACUUUAUCUUACCAUUAACACGCGAUUUACUGAGGGUCUGCUCUCGACUCUAAAACACGACUUCUCUACUCGAGAAUCUACUCUCGACUCCCUCAACUAGAACUAAAACUAGCCUAUUCUACUC